rnacentral:rRNA from 1 species
GACGAAGGAUGCAAGCGUUAUCCGGAUUCAUUGGGUUUAAAGGGAGCGUAGGCGGCCUUGUAAGUCAGUGGUGAAAUCUUCCCGCUUAACGGGAAAACUGCCAUUGAUACUGCAGGGCUUGAGUACAGAUGCUGUGGGCGGAAUAUGACAUGUAGUGGUGAAAUACAUAGAGAUGUCAUAGAACACCGAUUGCGAAGGCAGCUCACAAAACUGUAACUGACGCUGAGGCUCGAAAGUGUGGGGAUCAAACAGG